ensembl:lncRNA novel transcript
CUAAUGGCUACCCAUUUCACUCUGGGCAGGAGCACGGCAUUUUGUUUCUUUUAAUAAUCCAGAGUGACAAUAGGUUGGCAAAGUGGUUACGUUGGAUGCAUAUUGAAAAGAUUAUUUCAUAUUUUGAGACAGCAUGAAGGCAUUACAGCUUUUUAGUGGUGUGCCAAUUUCUCGGUGGAAAGUGGAAUUCUCUUCUCAGCCCAGUCCUCUCCAAGCCAUCUUGAGGGGAGACAAAGAACCCCAUUAUCCUGAAAUGUGCCUGUUUUGCAUCUGAGGGCCAUAUGCACAGGUAAACAACCCCAUAAAAAGUGAUGGCUUGAGCCUCAUCUUCCCCUAUAAGCGUUAGUCUGGAAGGUGAGAAGAAGCUCACUUAUUACGGUGAGGCAGAGUGAAGGAGAGAGGAGGAAAAACACAUUUAUUUGUGUGAAAGAGAAAAUGAAACAGGAAGGUUGUGAAAGCCUUUCCCAGCUAGGGGAAGCCAACAGGUUCUGAUAAGUGUGUUCUCUUCACCCAGAAGAACCGGAGGAACACCUCUCACAGACUGAGCCUAGAGUGCUGUCAUGAAACAAAAGAAACCUCUGGGAAGGGAGAAAGGGAUCAGGAGCCUGAAUGGGAUGACUUUCUGGUGGCAUCAUCUGGCAGAUAGAGUUGUCUGGCCCAGCCAUCCUCUGGUUCCUGUUCAACUGCCUGCCACAUCCAGCCCCUACACUUGGCUCUGCCAUCCUCCUCCU